UACGAAGGGGGCUAGCGUUGCUCGGAAUUACUGGGCGUAAAGGGCGCGUAGGCGGACAGCUUAGUCAGAGGUGAAAGCCCAGGGCUCAACCUUGGAACUGCCUUUGAUACUGGCUAUCUUGAGUUCGGGAGAGGUGAGUGGAAUGCCGAGUGUAGAGGUGAAAUUCGUAGAUAUUCGGCGGAACACCAGUGGCGAAGGCGACUCACUGGCCCGAUACUGACGCUGAGGCGGCGAAAAGCGGUGGGGAGCAAACAGGGAUUAAGAA
rnacentral:rRNA from 1 species